UCGGUGGUACCGAUUGAAUGGUUUAGUGAGAUUUCUGGAGUGAAGAUUGGGUUGCAAAACUCUGUUUUUAUGAAACUACUCAAACUUGAUCAUUUAGAGGAACCAA
rnacentral:rRNA from 1 species